rnacentral:rRNA from 1 species
GACGAACGCUGGCGGCGUGCCUAAUACAUGCAAGUCGAACGCUUCUUUCCUCCCGAGUGCUUGCACUCAAUUGGAAAGAGGAGUGGCGGACGGGUGAGUAACACGUGUGUAACCUACCCAUCAGAGGGGGAUAACACUUGGAAACAGGUGCUAAUACCGCAUACCAGUUUAUGCCGCAUGGCAUAAGAGUGAAAGGCGCUGUCGGGUGUCGUUGAUGGUUGGCCCCGGGGUGCUUUAGCUAGUUGGGGAGGUAACGGCUCACCAGGGCCACGAUGCAUAGCGGACCUGAGGGGGGGAUCGCCCACAUGGGAACUGAGAACGGGCCCAGACUCCUACGGGAGGCAGCGGUAGGAAAUUUGCGGAAAGGGACGAAAGUCGAACCGGGCAACGCGGGGUGAGUGAAGAGGGUUUUCGGAUCGUAAAACUCUGUUGUUAGAGAAGAACAAGGAAGUUAGUAACUGAACGGCCCCGAACGGUAUCUAAGAAGAAAGCCAGGCCUACCUACGG